rnacentral:misc_RNA from 1 species
GAUGAAGAACGCAGCGAAAUGCGAUAAGUAGUGUGAAUUGCAGAAUUCAGUGAAUCAUCGAAUCUUUGAACGCACAUUGCGCCCCUUGGUAUUCCAUGGGGCAUGCCUGUUCGAGCGUCAUUUGUACCCUCAAGCUUUGCUUGGUGUUGGGCGUCUUGUCGUAUUACGACUCGCCUUAAAUACAUUGGCAGCCGGCACUUUGGCCUAGGAGCGCAGCACAUUUUGCGAUCGUAGCCCGUUGUACUGGCGUCCAUCAAGAACAUUUACCACGUUUGACCUCGGGUCAGGUAGGGAUACCCGCUGAACUUAAGCAUAUCAAUAAGCGGAGGA